UGGGGAAUAUUGCGCAAUGGGGGAAACCCUGACGCAGCGACGCCGCGUGGGUGAUGAAGGCCUUCGGGUCGUAAAGCCCUGUCGGGAGGGAAGAAACACUCCGGACCUAAUACGUCCGGGAAUUGACGGUACCUCCUAAGGAAGCACCGGCUAACUCCGUGCCAGCAGCCGCGGUAAUACGGAGGGUGCUAGCGUUGUUCGGAAUCACUGGGCGUAAAGGGCGUGUAGGCGGUCUGUUAAGUCUGAUGUGAAAUCCCCUCGCUCAACGAGGGAACUGCGUCGGAUACUGGCAGACUUGAGUACCGGAGAGGAAGGUGGAAUUCCCGGUGUAGCGGUGAAAUGCGUAGAGAUCGGAAAGAACACUCGUGGCGAAGGCGGCUUCCUGGCCCAAAACUGACGCUGAGGUGCGAAAGCAUGGGGAGCAAACAGGAUUAGAUACCCAAGUAGUCCCUGAGCGGGCUGGCAAGGCGCAU
rnacentral:rRNA from 1 species